CUUGUUUUACAUAUUGUACAGCACUGCAGAAUAAGUUGGCGCUAUAUAAAUAAAUGUGAUAGUAAAGGUGAUUUUCAAUGUUAACUGUGGAAAUAGUCUAAACAAGUGAGUCAAAAGACAAGACUUUAUUAACUUUGGAACAGACAAAUGAGUUUAAAAUUGAAUUAAUUCUUCCUCUAAGCAAAGUGCAUGUGUCAUGUAUAAGAAUAAUGUACAGACAUAAAAAUUGAA